AUUCUUUGUAUUAAUUGAAAUACUUAAUCCUGGAUUUAAUGCAAUUUUCAUCAGAUUCAGUUCAAAAAUUAAUGACUACUUUGUGCCUGGAGACUCAGCAUUAAAACACACAAGGUAUUGUUUGGGUAGGAUGUCGUCAUUUACUUAUGUUUUCACACAACUACAGUAGAGGGCACAUGCUAAUGUGUAAAGAUUGAAAAGGCAUGUCAGGAACUGUCAACGGUGGUUAAAAUGAUACACAACUGAAUCCCUAAGUGCUCCUGACCCUUUUGCAAAACUGAAAAACAUGCCCUGAUACAUGCUUUCAAGCUGUAGUUCCUGCCAUAGCAAAAUUAAACUGGAAAAGAACGAUGGAAAAUGUGCUUGUCAUGUGUGUUAAGAAAGUCCUGUGCUUAAAAGCGAAUGUCAUUUCUUUUUGGCUGUGAGCUGCUAAACACAGAGGAACUUCUACACAACAAAGUUACUGAACACUGUUAUCUGGUUUGGAAGCUGUGAUUGUUUCACCAUCUAUGCUGGCGCUGUUGGGCCUCCAUGAUACGCUGCGACAAAAGCUCUCAAAAGCUUAUGAAAUGGCGGAUUGUACUGAAAAGUCAGGAAAUGAAACCGAAGCCAGUGCAGUCGACAGGUUAGACGUAAAACAUGGAUCUUAUGGAAGUCUGCCGGAAUUAAACUAACUCGGAGUGGAGCCAUGCAUUAUUGACUGCAUUAUUCAGCAUAGCUGGCAUCUAAAGGCUGACAGAAAUAAAAUAAUUGCAUUUGCUUAUAGUGCACAGUAUGUUGUGAAAAAUAGAUCAGAAAAAAUGUCAACAGCUGAGGUCAUUCAGGCAAUAAAAUAGAACCAUAUCUAAGCUUCAGGAUCACAAUAAGUGAGUUCUUUUGUUUUGACUGUUUAAGUAUAUUACAAAUAUUGAUCUUUACAUAGAAUAAUGGACUAAAAAUCUAUACAUAUC